rnacentral:rRNA from 1 species
GAUGAACGCUGGCGGCGUGCCUAACACAUGCAAGUCGAGCGAACCCUUCGGGGUGAGCGGCGGACGGGUGAGUAACGCGUGGGUAACUUGCCCUGUACACACGGAUAACAUACCGAAAGGUAUGCUAAUACGGGAUAAAGUAUGAAAGUCGCAUGGCUUUUAUAUCAAAGCUCCGGCGGUACAGGAUGGACCCGCGUCUGAUUAGCUAGUUGGUAAGGUAACGGCUUACCAAGGCGACGAUGCAUAGCCGAGUUGAGAGAUUGAUCGGCCACAUUGGGACUGAGACACGGCCCAA